rnacentral:rRNA from 1 species
GGAUCCAGACUUUGAUCCUGGCUCAGGAUGAACGCUAGCUACAGGCUUAACGCAUGCAAGUCGAGGGGAAACGAUAGAGAAAGCUUGCUUUUUCUAGGCGUCGACCGGUGCACGGGUGAGUAACGCGUAUCCAACCUGCCCAUCACUUGGGGAUAACCUUGCGAAAGUAAGACUAAUACCCAAUGAUAUCUCUAGAAGACAUCUGAAAGAGAUUAAAGAUUUAUCGGUGAUGGAUGGGGAUGCGUCUGAUUAGCUUGUUGGCGGGGUAACGGCCCACCAAGGCGACGAUCAGUAGGGGUUCUGAGAGGAAGGUCCCCCACAUUGGAACUGAGACACGGUCCAAACUCCUACGGGAGGCAGCAGUGAGGAAUAUUGGUCAAUGGGCGAGAGCCUGAACCAGCCAAGUAGCGUGCAGGAUGACGGCCCUAUGGGUUGUAAACUGCUUUUAUAAGGGAAUAAAGUGAGUCUCGUGAGACUUUUUGCAUGUACCUUAUGAAUAAGGACCGGCUAAUUCCGUGCCAGCAGCCGCGGUAAUACGGAAGGUCCGGGCGUUAUCCGGAUUUAUUGGGUUUAAAGGGAGCGUAGGCCGGAGAUUAAGCGUGUUGUGAAAUGUAGACGCUCAACGUCUGCACUGCAGCGCGAACUGGUUUCCUUGAGUACGCACAAAGUGGGCGGAACUCGUGGUGUAGCGGUGAAAUGCUUAGAUAUCACGAAGAACUCCGAUUGCGAAGGCAGCUCACUGGAGCGCAACUGACGCUGAAGCUCGAAAGUGCGGGUAUCGAACAGGAUUAGAUACCCUGGUAGUCCGCACGGUAAACGAUGGAUGCCCGCUGUUGGUCUGAAUAGGUCAGCGGCCAAGCGAAAGCAUUAAGCAUCCCACCUGGGGAGUACGCCGGCAACGGUGCAACUCAAAUGAAUUGACGG